AUUGAACGCUGGCGGCAUGCCUUACACAUGCAAGUCGAACGGUAACAGGUCUUCGGAUGCUGACGAGUGGCGAACGGGUGAGUAAUACGUGGGUAACCUGCCCAUAAGAGGGGAUAACAUCCGGAAACGGGUGCUAAUACCGCAUAGUUUUCUUGAUCGCAUGAUCGGGAAAGGAAGACGGCCUUUGUGCUGUCGCUUAUGGAUGGACCCGNGGCGUAUUAGUUAGUUGGUGAGGUAACGGCUCACCAAGACGAUGAUACGUAGCCGACCUGAGAGGGUGAUCGGCCACAUUGGGACUGAGACACGGCCCAAACUCCUACGGGAGGCAGCAGUAGGGAAUCUUCCGCAAUGGACGAAAGUCUGACGGAGCAACGCCGCGUGAGUGAAGAAGGUUUUCGGAUCGUAAAACUCUGUUGUCAGAGAAGAACAAGUUGGAGAGUAACUGCUCCAGCCUUGACGGUAUCUGACCAGAAAGCCAACGGCUAACUACGUGCCAGCAG
rnacentral:rRNA from 1 species